CGGCCGCGUCGACAUUCGAAGCAACGCGAAGAACCUUACCAAGUCUUGACAUCCCCCUGACCGCACCUUAACCGGUGCUUUCCUUCGGGACAGGGGAGACAGGUGGUGCAUGGUUGUCGUCAGCUCGUGUCGUGAGAUGUUGGGUUAAGUCCCGCAACGAGCGCAACCCUUAUCCUUAGUAGCCAGCAGUUCGGCUGGGCACUCUGGGGAGACUGCCAGGGAUAACCUGGAGGAAGGUGGGGAUGACGUCAAAUCAUCAUGCCCCUUAUGAUUUGGGCUACACACGUGCUACAAUGGCGUAAACAAAGGGAAGCGAUCACGUGAGUGUGAGCAAAUCUCAAAAAUAACGUCCCAGUUCGGACUGUAGUCUGCAACCCGACUACACGAAGCUGGAAUCGCUAGUAAUCGGUCGACGCGGCCG
rnacentral:rRNA from 1 species